rnacentral:rRNA from 1 species
UACGUAGGGUGCAAGCGUUGUCCGGAAUUAUUGGGCGUAAAGAGCUCGUAGGCGGUUUGUUGCGUCGGCUGUGAAAUCCCGAGGCUCAACCUCGGGUCUGCAGUCGAUACGAGCAAACUAGAGUGUUGCAGGGGAGACUGGAAUUCCUGGUGUAGAGGUGAAAUUCGUAGAUAUCGGGAGGAACACCGGUGGCGAAGGCGGCGACCUGGGUAGAUACUGACGCUGAGGCGCGAAAGCGUGGGGAGCAAACAGG